CACGUAGGGCGCAAGCGUUGUCCGGAAUUAUUGGGCGUAAAGAGCUCGUAGGCGGUCAGUUACGUCCGCUGUGAAAACCCGGGGCUUAACCCUGGGCUUGCAGUGGAUACGGGCAGGCUAGAGGUAGGUAGGGGAGAAUGGAAUUCCCGGUGUAGCGGUGAAAUGCGCAGAUAUCGGGAGGAACACCGGUGGCGAAGGCGGUUCUCUGGGCCUUUCCUGACGCUGAGGAGCGAAAGCGUGGGGAGCGAACAGG
rnacentral:rRNA from 1 species